rnacentral:rRNA from 1 species
AUACGGAGGGUGCAAGCGUUAUUCGGAAUCACUGGGCGUAAAGGACGCGUAGGCGGGCUGGCAAGUCAGAUGUGAAAUCCUACAGCUUAACUGUAGAACUGCAUUUGAAACUGCUAACCUAGAGUAUGGGAGGGGGAGAUGGAAUUAGUGGUGUAGGGGUAAAAUCCGUAGAUAUCACUAGGAAUACCGAAAGCGAAGGCGAUCUCCUGGAACAUAACUGACGCUAAGGCGUGAAAGCGUGGGGAGCAAACAGGAUUAGAAACCCUAGUAGUCC